GAUGAACGCUGGCGGCGUGCCUAAUACAUGCAAGUCGAGCGAACAGACGAGGAGCUUGCUCCUCUGACGUUAGCGGCGGACGGGUGAGUAACACGUGGAUAACCUACCUAUAAGACUGGGAUAACUUCGGGAAACCGGAGCUAAUACCGGAUAAUAUAUUGAACCGCAUGGUUCAAUAGUGAAAGACGGUUUUGCUGUCACUUAUAGAUGGAUCCGCGCCGCAUUAGCUAGUUGGUAAGGUAACGGCUUACCAAGGCAACGAUGCGUAGCCGACCUGAGAGGGUGAUCGGCCACACUGGAACUGAGACACGGUCCAGACUCCUACGGGAGGCAGCAGUAGGGAAUCUUCCGCAAUGGGCGAAAGCCUGACGGAGCAACGCCGCGUGAGUGAUGAAGGUCUUCGGAUCGUAAAACUCUGUUAUUAGGGAAGAACAAAUGUGUAAGUAACUAUGCACGUCUUGACGGUACCUAAUCCGAAAGCCACGGCUAACUACGUG
rnacentral:rRNA from 1 species